CAGUCGCCACGGUAAUACGAAGGGGGCUAGCGUUGCUCGGAAUCACUGGGCGUAAAGGGCGCGUAGGCGGACUCUUAAGUCGGGGGUGAAAGCCCAGGGCUCAACCCUGGAAUUGCCUUCGAUACUGAGAGUCUUGAGUUCGGAAGAGGUUGGUGGAACUGCGAGUGUAGAGGUGAAAUUCGUAGAUAUUCGCAAGAACACCAGUGGCGAAGGCGGCCAACUGGUCCGAUACUGACGCUGAGGCGCGAAAGCGUGGGGAGCAAACAGGAUUAGAUACCCCCGUAGUCCCUGUCUCUUAUAC
rnacentral:rRNA from 1 species